rnacentral:tRNA from 1 species
UGUAGCUCAGUGGUAGAGCACUUGCCUAGCAUGCAAAAAGCCUUGGUUUCAAUCUCCAGCA